rnacentral:rRNA from 1 species
GAUGAACGCUGGCGGCGUGCCUAAUACAUGCAAGUCGUACGGAAAGGCCCUUCGGGGUACUCGAGUGGCGGACGGCUGAGUAACGCGUGGGAACGUGCCCCAAAGUGAGGGAUAACGCACCGAAAGGUGUGCUAAUACCGCAUAUGGUCUUCGGAUUAAAGCUUCGGCGCUUUGGGAGCGGCCCGCGUACGAUUAGAUAGUUGGUGGGGUAAUGGCUCACCAAGUCGACGGUCGUUAGCUGGUCUGAGAGGAUGAUCAGCCAGACUGGGACUGAGACACGGCCCAGACUCCUACGGGAGGCAGCAGUAAGGAAUCUUCCACAAUGGGGGCAACCCUGAUGGAGCAACGCCGCGUGCAGGAUGAAGGUUUUCGGAUCGUAAACUGCUUUUAUAAGUGAAGAAUGUGACGGUAACUUAUGAAUAAGGAUCGACUAACUACGUGCCAGCCGCCGCCGUAA